rnacentral:rRNA from 1 species
CCCUUAGAUGUCCGGGGCCGCACGCGCGCUACACUGAAGGAAUCAGCGUGGCUUUCUCCCUGACCCGAAAGGGUUGGGAAACCCGUUGAAUCUCCUUCGUGAUAGGGAUUGGGGCUUGAAAUUGUUCCCCAUGAACGAGGAAUUCCCAGUAAGCGCGAGUCAUGAGCUCGCGUUGAUUACGUCCCUGCCCUUUGUACACACCGCCCGUCGCUACUACCGAUUGAACGGUUUAGUGAGGGCCUCGGAUUGGUCUCGGCCCGCUCUUUACCGGGCGGCGCCGUUGGUCGAGAAGACGCUCGAACUUGAUCGUUUAGAGGAAGUAAAAGUCGUAACA